UGCAUCCUCUGUAUUCAUCAUCUGUCUGUACCUGGGAAACUGCGAACGGCUCAUUAGAGCAGAUGUCACUUAUUCGGAAAGUCCUUUUGGAUAACUGCGGCAAUUCUGGAGCUAAUACAUGCGAAUAAACCCUGACUUUCGAAAGGGUGCAAUUAUUAGAGCAA
rnacentral:ncRNA from 1 species